GAAUUUAGCAUAUCUGUUCGCAGAAUGUGACCCCACUCUAUAUACACUGUGCAUUCAUUGGCGGAUGAGAUGAGUGUCCUUUCAGGAUUCUUUGAUUGUCUGCGGCUCACUUUAAACACCAGUAUAAGUAUGUUAAAUAAAAAAAUAAGAAAAACUUUCAACAACGGAUCUCUUGGCUCU
rnacentral:misc_RNA from 1 species